CUGAAUUUGUCACUCCAAACAGAAGAAAGAGGAAUUUUAGGAUACCAUGACGCACCUGGUCGAAUUGGUAGACGGGGUUUUCGAGUGUUUGAAGACCAACAACAACUUCCAGACGGAGGGAGAGCAUUUAAAACUUUGAAGAGGAAAUCAUUCUGGGGUAUACCAAGACGAGGUGGAAGGGACCUCGACUAGUUUUAACAUGUGUAGAGAUUCAAGGAACAGACUCCAAGGCUUUCAUGAAUCUGUAUGUCUGUUACAAUAAAGUUAAAUUUCUCAACAGA